UGCCCCGGCGAGGCGGGGCCGGGCGGGAGCGGCCCGAGCGCGGCUCCGCUCGGCUCCUGUGCGGCUGCCGCGGAGCCGGGGCCCGCAGCGAUGGCGGCCGCGCUGGGGCCGUGGCUGCUGCCCUUGGCCUUGGCCUUGUGGCCGCCAGGGCUCUGGGCACAGCCGAGGCUGCAGGAGGCCGGCGGAGGGCUGCGAGCGCCCGGGGACUCCGUCACCCUCUCCUGCCGCGGGUCCGGCUUCACCUUUAGGAAUUCUGGAAUUUGGUGGUACCGUCAGGUACCCGGAGGGAGCCUGGAGUGGGUGGCCUUUAUCAGCUCCCCCUCGGGCAGUAUAGAGGAGUACGGAGCAGCAGUGAAGGGUCGGGCCAAGAUUUCCCGGGACAGUUCCCGGUCCGAAGUUCAUCUCUCUUUGUGGUCUCUGCAAGUUCAGGACUCUGCCCGCUACUUCUGUGCUGUCCCACGGCGACAGCGAAUGCAGAUGAGCUUUAACAGAAACCUUCCAGGGUCUGGCAGAGGUUGCAGGGAAGGUGAAAGUUGCCAGGGGCAGGGAGCCAAUUGGUCUCAAGGCUGUUUCCAAGAAGUCAGGUGCCAUCACUGUGCCCCACAGGCAUUCCUGGCCUUUACCGCACACUGCAGGGAUUCUGAUUUAUUGCCAAUUUGAUUAACAGUAGAACUGUGAGCAAUUAUAAAAUGCCUUGCUAUCACUUUAUCCCUGUUUGCUCCCAGGCCCAUCCUCAAAGCUGCAUUCCUGA